rnacentral:rRNA from 1 species
GGCUUGUCGCGUCUGCCGUGAAAACCCGAGGCUCAACCUCGGGCGUGCGGUGGGUACGGGCAGGCUAGAGUGUGGUAGGGGAGACUGGAACUCCUGGUGUAGCGGUGAAAUGCGCAGAUAUCAGGAAGAACACCGAUGGCGAAGGCAGGUCUCUGGGCCAUUACUGACACUGAGAAGCGAAAGCAUGGGUAGCGAACAGGAUUAGAUACCCUGGUAGUCCAUGCCGUAAACGUUGGGCACUAGGUGUGGGGGGCAUUCCACGUUUUCCGCGCCGUAGCUAACGCAUUAAGUGCCCCGCCUGGGGAGUACGGCCGCAAGGCUAAAACUCAAAGGAAUUGACGGGGGCCCGCACAAGCGGCGGAGCAUGCUGAUUAAUUCGAUGCAACGCGAAGAACCUUACCAAGGCUUGACAUGCACCGGACGGUCGCAGAGAUGUGGCUUUCUUCGGACUGGUGCACAGGUGGUGCAUGGUUGUCGUCAGCUCGUGUCGUGAGAUGUUGGGUUAAGUCCCGCAACGAGCGCAACCCUCGUUCUAUGUUGCCAGCACGUCAUGGUGGGGACUCAUAGGAGACUGCCGGGGUCAACUCGGAGGAAGGUGGGGACGACGUCAAAUCAUCAUGCCCCUUAUGUCUUGGGCUUCAAGCAUGCUACAAUGGUCGGUACAAUGGGUUGCGAAACUGUGAGGUGGAGCGAAUCCCAAAAAGCCGGCCUCAGUUCGGAUUGGGGUCUGCAACUCGACCCCAUGAAGUCGGAGUCGCUAGUAAUCGCAGAUCAGCAACGCUGCGGUGAUACGUUCCCGGGCCUUGCACACACCGCCCG